rnacentral:tRNA from 1 species
AAAACAUUAGUAAAGUAGAUUACAUCACCUUGUCGAGGUGAAAUCGCAGGUUAAACUCCUGUAUGUUUUA